UUCACAAUGUAAGUCAUUCUAGCAUUUCCCACAUUCAUAUCGAUGUUAACUCAUUAACAUCGAUAUGAAUGUGGGAAAUGCUAGAAUGACUUACAUUGUG
rnacentral:misc_RNA from 1 species